rnacentral:tRNA from 1 species
GCAGGCUGUUGAUAAAAGGUGUGUAAUACUGACUUGUAAUCAGUAGGUCCCGGGUUCGAUUCCUGGUGCCGGCACCA